GGCUUGAUGGUCUAGUGGUAUGAUUCGCGCUUAGGGUUCACCCUAGGUUUAAUAUGCGCGAGGUCCCGGGUUCGACUCCCGGUUAAGCCC